rnacentral:rRNA from 1 species
GUAGGAGGCGAGCGUUAUCCGGAUUUACUGGGUGUAAAGCGCGUGCAGGCGGUGUGGUAAGUUGGGUGUGAAAGCUCCUGGCUCAACUGGGAGAGGUCGCUCAAGACUGCCAGACUUGAGAGUGGUAAGGGAAGGUGGAAUUCCGGGUGUAGUGGUGAAAUGCGUAGAUAUCCGGAGGAACACCAGUGGCGAAGGCGGCCUUCUGGACCACUUCUGACGCUCAGACGCGAAAGCUAGGGUAGCAAACGGGAUUAGAGACCCCGGUAGUCCUAGCCGUAAACGAUGUGAACUUGGCGCUGGGUCGGUAAAACGGUUCAGUGCCGCAGCUAACGCGAUAAGUUCACCACCUGGGGACUACGGCCGCAAGGUUAAA